UACAGUUGCUGAGUGUCGGUACAGGUGCUGAGUGUCGGUACAGGUGCUGAGUGUCGGUACAGGUACUGAGUGUAGGUACAGGUGCUGAGUGUAGGUACAGGUACAGGUGCUGAGUAUAGGUACAGGUAUAGGUGCUUAGUGUCGGUACAGGUACAGGUACAGGUGCUGAGUAGGUACAGGUAAAGGUGCCGAGUAGGUACAGGUGCUGAGUGUAGGUACAGGUGCUGAGUGUCGGUACAGGUGCUGAGUGUCGGUACAGGUGCUGAGUGUCGGUACAGGUACUGAGUGUAGGUACAGGUGCUGAGUGUCGGUACAGGUACUGAGUGUAGGUACAGGUGCCGAGUGUAGGUACAGGUGCCGAGUGUCGGUACAGGUGCCGAGUGUCGGUACCGGUGCUGAGUGUAGGUACAGGUGCCGAGUUCCGGUACAGGUGCUGAGUUCCGGUACAGGUGCUGAGUUCCGGUACUGGUGCUGAGUGUCGGUACAGGUGCUGAGUUCCGGUACUGGUGCUGAGUGUCGGUACAGGCGCUGAGUUCCGGUACUGGUGCUGAGUGUCGGUACAGGUGCUGAGUGUCGGUACAGGUGCUGAGUUCUGGUGCUGAGUGUCGGUGCAGGUGCUGAGUUCCGGUACUGGUGCUGAGUGUCGGUACAGGCGCUGAGUUCUGGUGCUGAGUGUCGGUACAGGUGCUGAGCGUCGGUACAGGUGCUGAGUUCCGGUACUGGUGCUGAGUGUCAGUACAGGUGCUGAGUUCCGGUACUGGUGCUGAGUUCCGGUACGGUGCUGAGCGUCGGUACAGGUGCUGAGUUCCGGUACUGGUGCUGAGUGUCGGUACAGGUGCUGAGUUCCGGUACUGGUGCUGAGUGUUGGUACAGGUGCUGAGUUCCGGUACUGAGUGUCGGUACAGGCGCUGAGUUCCGGUACAGGGUGGAGAG
rnacentral:lncRNA from 1 species